UACGUAGGGUGCGAGCGUUUAAUCGGAAUUACUGGGCGUAAAGCGUGCGCAGGCGGUUCGCCAAGUCAGGUGUGAAAUCCCCGGGCUCAACCUGGGAACUGCAUCUGUGACUGUAUAGCUAGAGUACGGUAGAGGGGGGAUGGAAUUCCGCGUGUAGCAGUGAAAUGCGUAGAUAUGCGGAGGAACACCGGGGGCGAAGGCGGCUCGCUGGGGCAUGGUCCGACGCUGAGGCGCGAAAGCGUGGGGAGCGAACAGG
rnacentral:rRNA from 1 species